rnacentral:rRNA from 1 species
GCGGCGGACGGGUGAGUAACACGUGGGUAACCUGCCCAUAAGACUGGGAUAACUCCGGGAAACCGGGGCUAAUACCGGAUAACAUUUUGAACCGCAUGGUUCGAAAUUGAAAGGCGGCUUCGGCUGUCACUUAUGGAUGGACCCGCGUCGCAUUAGCUAGUUGGUGAGGUAACGGCUCACCAAGGCAACGAUGCGUAGCCGACCUGAGAGGGUGAUCGGCCACACUGGGACUGAGACACGGCCCAGACUCCUACGGGAGGCAGCAGUAGGGAAUCUUCCGCAAUGGACGAAAGUCUGACGGAGCAACGCCGCGUGAGUGAUGAAGGCUUUCGGGUCGUAAAACUCUGUUGUUAGGGAAGAACAAGUGCUAGUUGAAUAAGCUGGCACCUUGACGGUACCUAACCAGAAAGCCACGGCUAACUACGUGCCAGCAGCCGCGGUAAUACGUAGGUGGCAAGCGUUAUCCGGAAUUAUUGGGCGUAAAGCGCGCGCAGGUGGUUUCUUAAGUCUGAUGUGAAAGCCCACGGCUCAACCGUGGAGGUCAUUGGAAACUGGAGACUUGAGUGCAGAGAGGAAAGUG